ACCCAGCUGACGAGUCCCGAAUAGGACGAAAUGCGCAUCCUGGAU
rnacentral:hammerhead_ribozyme from 1 species